CUCCCCUCCGCCUUCUACAUUACAAACGUCUAUGGCCCGACAAGCCGUGCCCAGAAGCAAGCCUUCCUCGAUGAGCUUCCGUCCAUUGCCCCAGUGAAAGGACCGUGGCUAAUCGUCGGUGAUUUUAAUCUCAUUCGCUUCCCCCACGAGAAGAAUAACUCGAAUUUCCAUCAGCGCGAGGCUAACAUGUUUAACGACGCCAUCAACGAGCUAGCUCUCCAGGAACUCCCUCUGCUUGACCGACAAUUCACCUGGUCCAACAACAGGGAAGUGCCGGUCCUUGAACGCCUCGACAGAGCCUUCUUCAACCUUGCCUGGAACUCCACCUUCCCGAAUACCUCCCUCUCCUCGCUGGCCCGAAUCACCUCGGAUCACGUCCCGCUAGUCAUCUCCAUCUCCACCACGGUACCCCGCCCCGCCUCUUUCGUUUUGAACGACGUUGGGCCUAUACCCCGGCAUGCAAACGGCUGGUAG
rnacentral:rRNA from 1 species